rnacentral:rRNA from 1 species
GUGUCAGCCGCCGGGUAAUACGGAGGGGGCUAGCGUUGUUCGGAAUUACUGGGCGUAAAGCGCGCGUAGGCGGCUGGGCAAGUCGGAUGUGAAAGCCCUCGGCUCAACCGAGGAACUGCGUCCGAUACUGCUCGGCUUGAGUUCGGUAGGGGGUGGCGGAAUUCCCGGUGUAGCGGUGGAAUGCGUAGAUAUCGGGAGGAACACCGAUGGCGAAGGCGGACACCUGGGCCGAUACUGACGCUGAGGCGCGAAAGCCAGGGGAGCAAACAGGAUUAGAUACCCUGGUAGUCCUGGCUGUAAACGAUGGGCACUUGGUAUCGCGGGCAUUCACCCCUGCGGUGCCGGAGCUAACGCGAUAAGUAGACCGCCUGGGGAGUACGGCCGCAAGGUUAAAACUCAAAUGAAUUGGCGGGG